GAUACACUGAAUGUCAGUGCUACACAGUGUUCAGCACUGGCGCAGGAAGCACCUCUAGUAGCCAUCUGAAGAGUGGCCACUGGAGGUAUCCCUAGGCUGUAAUGUAAACACUGCCUAUUCUCUAUAAAGGUAGUGUUUAUGGCAAAAAGCCUGAAGGGACUGACCAUACUCAACAGCACAACUACAUUAAAGGAUCACUAUAGUGUCAGGAAAACAAAGCGGUUU